UACGAGGGAUGCAAGCGUUAUCCGGAAUUAUUGGGCGUAAAGCGUUUGUAGGCGGGCGAGUGUGUUUAAUGUUAAAUCUUAAAGCUCAACUUUGAAAUUGCGUUAAAAACUGCUUGUCUUGAGUAUGGUAGGGGUAAAGGGAAUUCCCAGUGUAGCGGUGAAAUGCGUAGAUAUUGGGAAGAACACUAAACAGCGAAGGCACUUUACUAGGCUAAUACUGACGCUGAGAAACGAAAGGUAAGGUAGCGAAACGGAUUAGAUACCCGUGUAGUCUUACCCGUAAACUAUGGACACUAAACGGUAAAUUUUUAAUUUACUGUUAAAGCUAACGCGUUAAGUGUCCCGCCUGGGGAGUAUGCUUGCAAAAGUGAAACUCAAAGGAAUUGACGGGGGCCCGCACAAGCGGUGGAGCAUGUGGUUUAAUUCGACGGUACACGAAGAACCUUACCAGGAUUUGACAUGCUAGAUAGUUGCUUGAAAGAGUAACGUGCCGUAAGGAAUCUAGACACAGGUGGUGCAUGGCUGUCGUCAGUUCGUGUUGUGAAAUGUUGGGUUAAGUCCCGCAACGAACGCAACCCUUGUCUUUAGUUAUUUUCUAAAGAGACUGCCUGUAAUAAACAGGAGGAAGGUAAGGAUGAGGUCAGGUCAUCAUGCCCCUUAUGUCCUGGGCUACACACGUGCUACAAUGGGAAAGACAAUGAGCUGCAAAUCUGUAAAUUUAAGCAAAUCUCUUAAACUUUCUCGUAGUUCGGAUUGUGGGCUGCAACUCGCCCACAUGAAGUUGGAAUCGCUAGUAAUCGCCAGUCAGCUAUAUGGCGGUGAAUCCGUUCCCGGGCCU
rnacentral:rRNA from 1 species